GCCUACGGGGGGCAGCAGUAGGGAAUUUUCGUCAAUGGGCGCAAGCCUGAACGAGCAAUGCCGCGUGAACGAGGAAGGUCUUCGGAUCGUAAAGUUCUGUUGAAGGGGAAAAAGAGCGGAGAGAGGAAAUGCUUUCUGAUUGAUAUUACCCUUCGAGGAAGUCACGGCUAACUACGUGCCAGCAGCCGCGGUAAUACGUAGGUGGCGAGCGUUAUCCGGAAUGAUUGGGCGUAAAGGGUGCGUAGGCGGCCUGCUAAGUCUGGAGUGAAAGGUACCGGCUCAACCGGUACCGGCUCUGGAAACUG
rnacentral:rRNA from 1 species